UACGAAGGGGGCUAGCGUUGCUUGGAAUCACUGGGCGUAAAGCGCACGUAGGCGGAUUGUUAAGUCAGGGGUGAAAUCCUGGAGCUCAACUCCAGAACUGCCUUUGAUACUGGCGAUCUCGAGUCCGGGAGAGGUGAGUGGAACUGCGAGUGUAGAGGUGAAAUUCGUAGAUAUUCGCAAGAACACCAGUGGCGAAGGCGGCUUACUGGUCCGGUUCUGACGCUGAGGCGCGAAAGCGUGGGGAGCAAACAGG
rnacentral:rRNA from 1 species